AGUUUCUCAAGCCUAACACAAGACCGGCUGGCAUUAGCUUUAUAGCAGAUGUUUCCCAUUCCAGCUCUCACAUCUCCCCGCCUCCACCAACAGGGAGAACAGUUGUAUUCACCAAACAGUGGGAUCUUCCUAAAUCAUCCUUCUGAACGGAAACCUCAGCAUCAAAGACAUGUCUCCUGGACUUGGAGUUGAAUGUUUACAAAUCACAAGCUCCACUGGCAGAGGAAAAGAAGAGAAAAGGAGAAGCAGCAGAACAUCAGAGACUACGGUUGGAUGUCAAAGAGCAGCAGCUUGAUUUAGAGGGACAGCUUGAUGGCGUUGCUUAGGAGUCUGUGGACAGUCGGACUCCAGGGGAAGACGAUCUUCUCACUCCAUCACUUUUUCAGCCCCCCUUCCAUCUGAGAGCCACUUUGGUCAGCAAUAAAAUCCCUGGCAUUUACCAUC